rnacentral:misc_RNA from 1 species
UGAAAAUGCAAGGAGAUUCCGCCAGGUGCUGGAGAACCGACAAAGGCUUGCCUCCAGUGCUCCAGUCUGGAUCCUCUGAAACAGAAUGUUUGCCUAAUGAGCAUGUUUUUCACACAUCACUUCUCUAAUAAAAGUGUUUUAUAAUGGAAGAAAGAAAUUGAAUUGAAUUGAAUUCUAUAUGCCGGCUCCGCGACGGAGAUUGGCGAUCAUCAAUGCAAUCUGGAUUCUACUGACUGCAGCUUGGAACACGGAUGCUGAAUCAAUGUGGAACCACUCACUCAGGUUUUUUAACCAGGAUGCUCUCCUUCUGCCGGGCCGGCGUCUUCCUUUAAUCUUGCCCUCCAUGAUACAGAGAAACUAUAUCUACACUGAAUAAUUGUUGUGUAGAUUUAGUUACUUAAAUAAUUCAUUUUAAGAUUUAGCAUGUAUUUCUGGAGUUUGUUUGAUUUCUGCAUAAGUUGUUUUUGUUUUUCUUAUUAUUCUUUAUUAUUUUGUGUGGAGUGCGGUUUUGGGCAGUGUGCCUGUCGCAUCCACACUGAUUAACUACAUUCACUACAAUGUAUCUUUUUUUCAAUAAAUUGAAA